rnacentral:lncRNA from 1 species
AUUUCUCAGGUGAAAAAGAUGCCUUGAACAAAAAUGGAGAAGUACAGCAUUUAAAAAUCUACUCUCAGUUUUGUCAAUGUGAUGCCCCUCAAAAAGCCAAGUUCCAAACAUCAAAAUGGAAACAGUCAUGCUACGUAAAUAUAUGCAUAUAUCUAAAUGUAUCUAUAGAACGUAUAACAUGACUUCUAAAGAUCUAGUACUUUCAGAAAAUCCAAUUAAAAUUUAAAGACUGAGAAAAUGCCAGAAAACAUGUAUUUAAAAAAAGCUGUUUUGUUUUCAACCAGUCAGGAUAUUGUUUGUCCUGGGGGGGAUUUAUGACUUUUUCUACAUCCAUUCUAAACCUACUUAUGUAGAGAAUAUAUAGUCCUGUCAGCUGACAAAGGUCUCAGGCCAGUCAUUCUGUCUUAGUCAGUUUACAAGUGUAGCAAGACCUGCUUUUCUCAUACUGCAUGCUCAUCGCCCUGGAUUUACUGUUACUAAAGUUACAUUCUUUCUUUCACUAGCGAUCCCAUCAAUUAUGCUCUCCUUACAUUCUGAAUGUGACAUUUAACUGUACAGUAUUAUAUCACAAUUCCUGCCUUCACUGUUUUUCACAAGUGGGCAUCACGGAAUACAGGGUGUCGUACUAAUUCACAAUCCAAAUUAAGUAUGCAUCUUUGCCAAAGCUUUAAUUUAAUAACCCAGUCUCUUUAAUUAAAGCGGAUCUCUUUUUUAUUAUUAUUUUCACGUGACCAACCCGCCAUAAACUGAACAGUGUCUAACAACUGGAGGAAGUCUAAGGAAUCGAUCCAAGCCCACGCUGUAAAUGGGCCAGGGGACACUGUAUUUCUCCUAAUCAGCUUUCCAGCUGCUGAUCAGAACCUGUUAUUAAUGUGCCCCUGGCUUAAUCUGGAAGCAGUCAGACAGGUGGAGCCCUUAUUCUCCUGCCCGACUGAAGAAUCGGUACUGUACCUCCUGACUGCACUGGCUUUGUCAUCUCCGAAGUGCAGGAAACAGACUUCGGCGCGUAAAAAUAAAUACAAAGCUGUGUUGUAAAAACCGAGUGAUUUGAAAAUAAACAUAAAUCUUACUCAGCAUAUUUUAAAAGCAUCUUAGCUUUUAAAUGCUUUAUGCAAGUGUAUUCCACCUCCAGUCUCAGGGGAUCGCUAGCUGGUCUGAUUUUUGUAUCAAUCAGCAUCUAAUCAUUACUUUUAAAGCCUACAGUGCUUUGUAGUGAAUAUACACACACGUCUGCAUUUAUUUUAAUGUAUUGUGUGAGUGUGUAAAAUGCAAUGCACCAGUAUAGAUUUUAAAAUAACUGAUUAGGUGCUGACUGGAUCAAAAAACAUGGUCUAUUAUUGGUCCCUGUGGUCUAAGCACAUGAGUGCAACUUCUUUAUUUGUUUUUGUGAAUCUAUGUUCAGAUUUUUGGAAUGAUGUUUCGAACCUUUUGCACUAGACUUAACAUUUAAUUCCUAAACUUUUGUUUUCAUAAUGUAAGAUUGUUUGAGAGCUUUCUAGAAAUGUCACAAUUAAAAGUAUCACAUUCUAUUUAAUUUGAUAUAUUCAAAAAACAAGCAUACAUUAUAUUUGACAUAAAGUGGUGGGUUGUGGCCAACACACAGAUAUCCUCU